rnacentral:lncRNA from 1 species
UUUUGAUAAGCUUUGCUUUUUAUUUCACAAAAGUUUUUAACUUGAUAUCUUCCUAAGGCUACUGGCAUAUUCUUAUUGAGCUUUAAUCAGAUAUAUGUGAACACAGUGAAGUGUCUUAUUUUCUUAAAUGUAUCUAUGGCAGCAGGACUGGUUAAUCUAGUUGCAAAAAAUUAACCAAAAAGAAACUACUGGACUAGAGAACUCCAUGAUUGAUGGAUUGUUGGUUUUUCUCCUAAAAAAAAAAAAGUCUGUUUACAAAAGAUGAGAAAUGUUGGAGAAAAUGAUUUCCCUUAGGACAUAAUGCUGUGGCCCCUCUGGCAGAGGUCUCUGGCAUUCUCCGCGAGGGAUUGGUACAAGGAACAAGACAGCAUCAGGUUUGCACAGCCGUUGGCGGAGAAAAACAAAGAUGAUUUCCUCUGGUCCCUAUUUUAGUUUUACUCUUUGAACUUCCAACAGUUUAUUUAUUAUUGUUGUUAUUAUUUUUAGUGGGGCACAGAUUGUUUCAGGAAUCAUCUUGGUUCCCUUUUUUGAAGUCUUUUUUUUUUUUUUAUUCUGUUGAGACUGGUUUUUAAAGUGCUCCACCUCCACCACCUGUCACUCUCCGGGGGGCUGUGCCUGGAGAACGCUCACAGUGCCGAGUUCAGCUGCAGACUGCGUGGUGGAGGGCGGCGGCAGAAGGAAAGACAGGUGCCGAUUUGGAGUUCUCCUUGUGAAGCAAAAAGCGCACCACGAUCGGGGAGAGAGAAAAGCUGCGAGGCUAGCCUUAAUGGCCCUAUGACCACAUCAGACUCUGAAACACUGAGACUCUGGGAUGACCCCUGUCCGUCCUCUGCUCUGCUGAUUCUCGCUGCUUCUCUUGGUUUCUGCAGCUGGGGAACGGAAUUUCAAGCAAAUUGUUAUAAUAACGCGCGAGAUAAGGAGACCUCUUGUGAGUUUCAUUCUGGUCUUAUAGCUUUACCUCUUCUACACUUUGAUGGUAGGCAAAAACCAAAGAAAGUUCUAGUUGAUUAAUGGGUUAGGAGAUUUAGUGCAACACCACCUUUUCUUAGACUAGUUCAAUAGAUAUCCAAAAUGCUUCUUAGUUUUCAUUAAGGUCAGCCAUACCGUAUUCCACAGUAGAUAAGUCAGAAAACGUCUUUCUCUGCAGAUUGUACGCAGAAGUCAAUAUGUAAGGAGCUCCAAACUCAAAAGUAUUUAAGACCACCUUGAAAGAUACAUAAAACGGUGUCCUUAGUCAAGGCCUUGACCGGAUCUGGCUGUGUAGUGAGGUGUUUUAUCUUAAUUUCCUAGUCCGUUAUCUGGGGAUUUUGUCUUUUAUUUUGUUACUGUAUUAAGCUGUAUUUUUAGUAUGUUGACAGCUUAUCAGCAAAGAUAAACUUUUUUUUAAAUGACUAUCUUUUUUAAAAUUUUAAAAUUUUUAUUUAUUUAUUUAUUUUUGAGGAAUAUUAGCUCUGAGCUAACUACUGCCAAUCCUCCUCCUUUUGCUGAGGAAGACUGGCCCUGAGCCAACAUCCAUGCCCAUCUUCCUCUAUUUUAUGGAUGGAACACCUACCACAGCAUGGUUUUUGCCAAGCGGUGCCAUGUCCGCACCCGGGAUCUGAACCGGCGGACCCCAGGCUGCCAAAUUGGAAUGUGCACACUUAACCACUGCACCACCAGGCCAGCCCCAAAGAUAAACUUUUAAUUAAGCAUCUGGGCUGAAAAUGUUCCCUCAAUAUAUUAGUAUAUUCUCGUUUGAAAUAGUCUUAUUUCAUUAGGAAAAGAGAAAAACUAGCUCGGAUUCGUUCUACUGUAGAAAAUGUAUUCCUACCCUUAUUUUGAAUGAUUAGUUUUGUUCUAGAAUAUUUGCUUGUUAUCAGACAUGGGGAGAAAACUUGAAAGAUUGGAAAUGAAAAGUUUAGAGACCGAGAUAUCGAUUUACCAAAUUAUUUCUUUCCUGGCUUUCCUUUCUUUUUUUUUUUUUCUAGGUUUAUGAUAUUUUUGUCUUUGUAUAAAAUAUUAUUUCAAGCCAAUGAAUGUCAUAAGAAUGACUUAUUAGUUUUUGUGCAUAAGGAAUCUAGGAAAUAGAAUUCUACUUCACUAGUUCCAGAGACCAUAACACUUAAGCCUUUCACCAUCAGUAUAUUUGGGUAAAGAGAUAGUCUUUAUCAUAAAAGUGUAUGCAUCCACAUUUAGCCAUGGACAAAACUUCCCUGGCAGGAAGCAGAGAUUUUUUUCAAAAUUAUUUUCAGAAAGUAUGCCGAGGCUUUUCUCUAAAAAUAAAAUGGUAUUUCAUCAGUACUGGUCAUUUUUUAGCCACAUAUGACAAAUGAUCACAGAUGCUCAUAAAAAUCUAAAAGGAACUGAAUGUUGUUCUCUUCUGAAACGGCAAAUAUUUUUCCUUUAACUUCAUUUUAAAACAAAAACAAACUUUACCACUUUGAUUGAAGAGAAUGCAGGAAGCGGUAUGGUCCCACCCAAAGUUCCUGCAUUCGAAAUGUCCUCAUGGGGAAGAAGGUUCAAGGUGUUUUUAAGUACAGAACUUUCAUGUUUCUGUGUGUUAACAAUGGCACUUCCUGUUUUGACCUCUAACCAUACUAGGCUAUCAAGAGAGUAAGAUGAUGGACUUCUCCUUUUUGCAAAGUGAAGAGCAUUUUUACUCCUUCUCACCAUGUGUGUAGAGUUCAAAGUGAAGACGAUCAAGACUCAGUUCUCCUGAGUCCAAGACAUUGAUCUAUGGUCUCCCAACAGUGGUUGGAAUUUUCAGUACUUUAUAGUUACCUAGCCAUGCACCCGAGAUUGAAGUCAACAGAAUGUGCAAUACUCCUUGUCUCAAAUAUAAAUAAAGCUAUGUGUUGCCUUUAAAUGGCCCCAGUGUUUUACUAAAAAUUAUUAACAGCCCUUAACAGAUUCAGGACUCGGUGACUGCCUCCUUUUAAGCCACUUUCAUUCAAAGAGAGAGAGAGAAAGGAGGAAAGUAGGGAGAGAGGGCAGAAAAGAAGGGAGGGAGGAUGGGAAGGAGGGAAGAAGGAAGGAAAGAAAGACGGAGGAAAGAAAAAAGCAAAGGGUGGGAGGGAGGAAGGAAAGAAAGAAAAAUUAGAGGGAGAAGACCAUCAUUUUCAAGUGAGAAGGAAAUUACUUGCAAGAUUCAAUAAUCUGAGUACCUGUUGCUUCCCAAAACCAGAAAAAAAAAUAUUUUAAAGCAAAUUCAAUUUACUUACGUCAUGUUAUAUUAAAAAAUGCCAUAUUAUUUUUAAAAGUAGAUACAGAUUAAUGGUAUGCUAAAGAUGUAAGUAUGACAUCAAAAUAAAUAACAAACAUUUUAGAAGUUAAUGUUCUCAAAGUUUGAAAGAAACAGUACUACAUAUUGAAAGAAGACACUAUUUAUUAUUUUGGUGAGAAAGAUUUGCCUGAACUAACAUCUGUGCCACUCUUCCUCUAUUUUGUAUGUGGGAUGCCUGCACCACAUGGCUGAUGAGUGGAGUAGGUCCACACCCGGGAUCCGAACCCAGGAACCAGGGCCGCGGAAGUGGAGUGCAGAACUAUAACCACUCAGCCAUGGGGCUGGCCCGAGGACAUUAUUUAAAGUGGAAAAAAAUCUUAGUGACUAUUCUAUUUCCUGUAUUAUUGUGAGAAUGACAGUUUAUUAGAAAUGAGAAUAUAUUUUCUUAAUAAAAAAGACAAACUUUAUCUUAGAAUUUGUCCUUCAAUUCUUUUUUUUUUCAAGAUUUUAUUUUUUUCCUUUUUCUCCCCAAAGCUCCCCAGUACACAGUUGUAUAUUCUUAGCUGUGGGUCCUUCUAGUUGUGGCAUGUGGGACGCCACCUCAGCAUGGCUUGAUGAGUGAUGCCAUGUCGGCGCCCAGGAUUCGAGCCGGUGAAACCCUGGGCCAUGCAGCAGAGCACACAAACUGAACCACUGAGGCACGAGGCCGGCCCCUGUCCUUCAAUUCUUGAGGGCAG